GCAUGAAGCUGGAAUCGCUAGUAAUCGCGGAUCAGAAUGCCGCGGUGAAUACGUUCCCGGGUCUUGUACACACCGCCCGUCACACCAUGGGAGUAGGUAAUGCCCGAAGUCGGUGACCUAACCGGAAGGAAGGAGCCGCCGAAGGCAGGACUUAUAACUGGGGUGAAGUCGUAACAAGGUACC
rnacentral:rRNA from 1 species